AUAUAUAUAUAUAUAUAUAUGGUAUUUUUGUAUCCAUUGUUGUGAUCUUUCGGUUAUUAGAAAAUAAAAAGGUUUAAAAUAUUAAACAACAUAAUAUAUGUUGGAAUUCAUUGUAUAUAUAUAUAUAUAUAUUCUAUUCGCAUAAUACAAAUCCUACAUGUGCGUCAUGCAUGCGUAAUCAUUGAUUUUACCGGCUUACCUUUUUAUGUUUUUGUUGGUGUCAUGAGAUAUAGUACAAUCUAAUGCGUGAAUUUUAUGGCGUUAUUAUAUUCAAUUAUGGAAUUAUUAGCUCUGUGCUUGGACCUAAUGAGUGAUUUAGUUAGGUGAUCAAGAAGAAAAACAAAAGUAACCAUCACUGUUAAGUGUAAAUGUCCUACCCCAUACCAACCCAACGAUGGAUAAUAUUGUUUGAUAUCUCAUUAUUUUCCCAGGAUUAGGUGUCUUAUUUGGUCUCUUUGAUAAAAUGUCUAGUUCAACAUAAUUAUCAAUUUCUACUUGGAAAACUCUUCUUCUUCGUUUUUUAGGUCAUCCCUUAUGAAUUUUACUUGUUUUAUCUUAUAGUAUAUCGUAUUGUUAAUAUAAAUUCUAAACUUCUAGCUCAUCUCUUGCAAAAUAUUAUGGUUGUUUAUCAUCUUUUAAUUUAUUGGGCGCAUCAUCAUGAGCUUGAUUGUUUUUAUCUUCGAUAAUUUGGUUUGAUUGAAUAAGACGUUGUUCUUUCACGUCCUAUACAAUUAACAAAACGCAAAAACAAAGCACCUAUAUAAUUAUAAUCUGAAGGCAAAACUAUACAUAAAUAACUCACGAAAACUCGUCGAAUUAAACAUUUAUAUCCAUGUUAUGUCGAUAUCAAGAACAAAUAAAAUACACACAUAUAUAUAUACGUACAUAUCCCUGGUAUGGUUUCACACACAAUACAACAAGAGCAGAGUACAGAGACACAGAAGCUUUUAUUCCAUUAACUAAAAUCUAACUUUAAAGUCAGUAUACUCAAAACUGAUCUUGACGUAUGUAAUAUUGCCAGUACCAACAUGUGUGCCUUCAUCAUAAUUUAUGUAUAUUUUUACUUUUAUGCCAAAUUAUAUCGUUUCGAUAAGGUCCAUACUCCAUAGGGACGUUGAAAUAUAUAUAUAUUUUUUUCAUAUUAUUUUUGUUUCCACUCAUUGUUUUCCUUUUAUUUUCUUCAUAAAGUUUUCCCACUCAUAGUUGUUUUGUUCACCAACCUUCUCAUUACCAAGACCAAGAGAGACGUAUAAAAUCGCAAAACGAAUUAGAUCGUCGUCAUUUUUUAUAUAUGUCGUCGACCCUAUAUAUGUGACUUUUAUCGACAUAUAUACUUUUCUACUUAAACAUUUUUAAUACGCCAAACUUACGGAUUCUUCAAAAUUUACACUAGUUAAAAAAAAGAAAAAAAAAACAUUGUUUUCUCAAUAUUGAAAAACGGAUUUAUUUCCCACCUUUAUUCUUCUUAAUAAUUAACGUUAAAAAAGUGUUCCGUAUUUUAGUUCAAAUUAAAUUCUCCAUUACUUUCCAUAGUUGAUACUCCAAGAAAAUGUAUGGAGCGUAGUAUAUAUAUUAUAUAUAGUGUGGUGGCUUGGAUAUAAAUAUAUCGUAAUUAAUAAUUUUUGGAUUUGGAUGGUACAGGGAAAUUAAUAAAGUAAUGAAGGUUUGGUGAAAUUAAGUAAUUAACGUAGCCAAGUGCCAACAACAACACCAAACCCACCAAACAUUAAGAAACAAAAAAAAAGUCAAAAAAGACGUAAGUCUUUGACCUCCUCCUCCACUACUACUCUCUUUUAGUCUUCCAGUUUGGUGAGUUCGUUCGUGCACUAUGUAUGGUGUGAGCAUACUAGUCCUUCAGCUUUUUUGGUGUUUUCGGAUGCGAUUAGAUAUUACCUUUUUUCAAGGUUUCUUUAUUUCUUCUGACUCUCAUUUCAAAUGUUCUGUUUAAGGAUUACAAAAUUUUAAACGUCCAUUUUCUUUGUACAUAUAUCAAAAGUUGAAACAAUUUCAUUUAGUUUUAAUGUCGACUGUUGACAAAAAUAAAUAAAUAAACGAGUAUAUUCCAUGUCAUGACGUAUGGAGUGACUGCGUUAUAAACAAAAAGAGCAUUAUGUUACUGAGAGUUCAUUUUUCUCGUGUUAUACUGUAUCUCCCAUUGCAUGCUCACGGGAUAUCUCUAUUAUAUUCAAAAGUUGGUAAUUGUACAUAAUAGAGUCUGAUUAGAGGAGACACAAAUAAACAACAUAAUCAAUUCCAGUGUAUAUAUAUAAUUAACCUUAACCUAGUUCUUAAUUAACAAGUUGCAGCUUUUAGAUUCUCAUUUAGUCAAAAACACUACCUAAUAUUUUGCUACUUUGUAACUAUUAUAUAUAUAGUAGAUUAAUGACUCCACCUGUGAUUUCAAAUAUUUAUAUUCUAAUUAGUUGAUACGUAACUUUAUUAUCAUCAUUCAUUCGGGCUGUAGUUUUGUAAGAACAUUUUAAUAUAAUUACACUUGUCGACAUACUACAAUUUUGCAUAUGUCACAUUUGAAAAUAAAGUUUUAUACGAGACGCUAGUUUUGGUGAUAAUAAUGAAUUUUGGUGUCGAAAAAGGAAGAAAAUACAAAAAGUGAUGAAACAAAUGUGAAAUAUAUAUACAAGCAUCGCUGUUAAAAGAAAAGAUUAAAAGUUGCAUGCAUCAUGUGGAUGCCAAAUCAAGUAAAAAUAUGAGAAAAUGGAAUCAUACCAAAUAAUCAACCAUACCACAGACAACCUUUUCCCACUCAACAAAUCUGAUUUGACAUUUAUCAGUUCCUCUGUUUACAUUCUCACUCUUCCAAGAUCGAUCAGAUCACACACUCUUCUCUUAACCUCUCGUGUAUAUAUAAAACAGAACCACUUAUAUAUAUAUAUAUUCGGUAACGAAAAGGUGAAUCUCAAUACUGAGUGAUACUAUACUAUUAAAGUUAUAUAUAUAUAUAUAGAUACAGAAAUUAGAAAGAGGAGAGAGGGAGAGAGAAUGGGGAAAGGAAGAGCACCUUGUUGUGACAAGACCAAAGUGAAGAGAGGUCCAUGGAGCCCAGAAGAAGAUUUGAAACUCAUCUCUUUCAUUCAAAAGUUUGGCCAUGAGAACUGGAGAUCUCUUCCCAAACAAUCUGGUAUGCUGUUGCUAUCGUGUUCCUUUUCUUUAUUAAUGGAUCAUCAUAUAAUCAAAGCAAAAGCCUUCCUUUUUAGUGGCUUUAUUUUGUACGUAAUUUAUGAUUCUAGCUGAAUGGGUAUAAUUAAUUAUAUAUGAAGGGCUAUUGCGGUGUGGGAAGAGUUGUCGUCUGAGGUGGAUCAACUACCUCAGGCCAGAUCUGAAGCGUGGCAACUUCACUGCAGAGGAGGAAGCAACCAUCAUCAAGCUCCACCAAAACUAUGGAAACAAGUAACUAAAUAUUCAUCACUUGCCUUUUUAUUAGUGUUUUUUUUGUUGUUGUUGUUGUUGCUCAUGGGGUGGUUUUGAUAUGGACACUAAUAAGCUUUCUGCAUUUUUUGAUCAGGUGGUCGAAAAUAGCUUCUCACCUUCCAGGUAGAACAGAUAACGAAAUCAAGAAUGUGUGGCACACCCACCUAAAGAAAAGAUUGGUUCAGAGCUCGGGAACCGAUCAUACUGCAGACGAGCCAGCUAAUUCAUCACCUUGUUCAAGUGACUCUGUUUCUCGAGGAGAGGUUUCUUUGAACAGAACAACGAGGAAUGCCUUGUCUACAUCUGUGUCUUCCGGUGGUUCCAACCAUUCAAUCCAGGAAGAUGAUCCAAAGAUAGGCAUGACGUUUGAGUACAUAGAAGAAGCUUAUAGCGACUUUAACGACAUUAUUCAAGAGGUGGACAAACCCGAUCUGCUGGAGAUCCCUUUCGAGCCAGAUCCUGACAUUUGGAGUUACUUAGAUGCUUCAAACUCGUUUCAACAGUCCGCUGCAAAUGAGUUCAGCUCAGCUUCACGACCAGAGGAAGAGUCUGAUGAGGAUGAGGUUAAGAAAUGGUUCAAGCACCUGGAAAGCGAACUCGGGUUAGAAGAUGAUGAUGGUCAACAACAGAGGACACAUGACAAUAAAGAAGAGUCAUCAUCAUCACUACUGAAGAACUACGAGCUCAUGAUACAUUAAAUGAAACCAAAAGGCUGUUUUUUCUUUUUGUAAGUUUUAUUUUCAUCCAUGACCAAGAAAAUAAAUACUUAUUUAAUGGAAAGGUAGGUAUAGUAGAGAAAAAAAUGUAUUUGACAUUUUUUAGUAGCCUGUAGAUAAAAACAGAGUUGGUCAAUUACUAAAGCUUGAGACUAAACUAUCUGAAAGAUUCUUUGAUAGAAUCUGGAAGAUUAAUUGACUGAUAGCUUCGUAUUGAAAUUAUGGUAGUCAAUCUAUUUGAAGAAGGAUAUUGUUGGGUAGGAUUGGUUUGAAAUACCUCCAUCAUCUAACAACAGAACAAGAAGACUAGUUGCUGAAUAACUAAGUAAAUUAUACAGUAAAGCAAGCAAGGUUCCUUUUUCCACAUAACAAGUUUGAAACAACAAUGAUGCAUCUAUGUAUGUUUUGAAAUCUUUCCUGAAAUUUAAUGGAGAUAGACAAAAAAGAAAGAAAGAGAGGAAUAUAGAUCUUAGUUUACUUGACAUAGAAGAAACAUGAUUUAGGGAAGAUAAUAAACUUUUUACUUUCAAGCUCUCUAUCAGUUUAUCCUAUACGAUCGUUUCAAAAGAUUGGGGUUUUUAUGUGAAAAGAUAUUGUUGGUUUGUUUUACGUCAACUGCAUAAGAUUUUAGGCCUGUUUUGAAGAUUCCGUACAAAUAUCAGGUCUAUUUUAGAUUAUGUAACAGGUUUUGUUUACAAUUCUUAACAAAUACCAGGUCAAUUUUGUAAUAAUGUAUAAAUAUCAGGUUAACUUUGCGUUAUUUCUUAAAACCCUACCUAAAGGAGCAAAAGUCCCGGGUCUUUAUUUUCCGGCAAUUUGUGCCACCGAGACUUGAUACAGUUUUGACCGGUCGGGUCGGGUCAGGUCAUAGUCACUAGUCCAUCCCUGUUUUCUGCUACAAGAAUUGACUUCAGUUUCGCGGUUCCAUCUCUCGCACUCUGUUUGGUGAUUUUGUAUAAUUUGAUCGGACUCAAUGGAAAAGUCCGUCGUCAUCCGCCGUGAAACCGAUGGAGAAGACGUGAAUGAGAGAGAAGGCAUCUUUGCACAACUGAAAGUUCUCUGCUUGGAGCUUAUAAACCUAUCGCAAAACCCUCAAAAGGAUCCGGCCACGAUCCCUGCUUUGCUCCACCUCCUCCGCCGUACUCCUCCAUCCACUCUCCAGUCCUUCUUCAAGUAAUUAUUCCCCACAUCCCCGUUUUUUUUUUUGGUUGCUCACUUUUCUCGCAUCUGUUUAUCUUCUAUACAUGAGCAAUUCAAUUUUCAGGUUUAAUAGAGAGUUUAUAUUUUUCAAUGUUCUAAUAAGUUGGAACUGCUUUAUUUGAUGUACGUUUCAGCUACACUUUGUUUCCAUUGCUUCUUCUGUUAGACGCCGCAGUUGCUUGCAGAAGUCAGGGGAAAAAUCAGCUUGAGGAAUUUCCAGCUACACCGUAUAGAGUCAGUGAUAAAGUGGCGGAAGGUGUAAUCUAUUGUCUUGAGGAACUUCUAAAGAAAUGUUACAUUGGAUCCAUUGAUCAGGUGAAGUGGUUUUGAAUUCUCACUUACUUUAGUUUUAAUAACAUAUUCUCAGCUUAGUUUUAAUACAAUGCUUGUUGAAAAUUUCUCCUAUAGAUGGUUGUAAUUAUGAAGAAGUUAACUAGUGGUGCUAUUUUAUCCCCAUCCGAGGCUGCUGAAGAGUUUCGUGAAGGAAUCGUCAGAUGUUUCCGGGCGAUGAUCUCUGGCCUGCUUCCAUGCUCUGAUGAUUCUUGCUCAUGUAAGCUCACUGUUGGCCGGCCUCAACUGUCAGAUAUGAGAGAUUAUCAGACUCAAGUUUCAGAGUCUUUUCAGUAUGAUUUUGAAACACGAGAAUGCUUGCUUGCAUUUCUUCAGUCUCACUCUGCUUUGGCUGCUGUGGGUCAUUGGCUUUCCAUCCUCCUCAAAGUAACACUCUUUUCUCCCUCUGCUUUCCUUUCUCUUUCCUAUGGAGUCUUUGUAGUUGUCUACACUCUAAAGUAAAAUCAAUUUUUAUCACUGCCUACAGGUGGCUGAUGCUGAGGCUUCUCGAGGACAUCGAGGAAGUGCAAAUCUUCGAGUUGAAGCCUUUAUGGCUUUACGGAUACUUGUGGCUAAGGUUACUAUUAAAAUUCUUAAAAAUUAAAAUAGGAACCGUUUUGGGGGAAAACAUCUUCUGGACUAUUUUUACACUUAUGGUUCCUAAUGUGAACAUAAUGCUUGUUGUAGAUUGGUACUGCUGAUGUGCUGGCCUUUUUUCUACCUGGUGUUGUUAGUCAAAUUGCCAAAGUGCUGCAUGUUUCGAGAGCAAUGAUAAGUGGAGCUGCAGGAAGUGUUGAUGCAUUGGACCAAGCACUUAGAAGUUUAGCCGAGUUUCUUAUGAUAGUCCUUGAAGAUGAGGCUAACUCAUUGGCUCUUGGCAUUUCUGAUGAUGAUACUAAGGUGCAUAGGCAUGAAUCUGCACACUCAAUUUUGGGCAAACUUCGUUCUCUGACAACAAAAUUUCAAGGGCAGAGCGACGAGCUGACAGAAAUUACAAACCAAGACAUCGUUACCGUCAAUGUACCUGCAAAAUUGAAUCUGAAUACGAGUCAAGAUUCCUUUCAUGUUGAACGUACAAAGGAAUGGUUAGAUACCACUACUUCUCACGUGAAUAAGCUGCUGUGUGAGACAUUUCCUCAUGUAUGCUAUUUCUUCUAGUGCUACGUUCAACACUUUUAUCCCAAAUCUUUUGUAACUGUUUUUUCUUAAUGGUGAUGUCUUAAUUGGUUUCAGAUUCUUAUUCACCCAGCCGGAAAAAUACGAUGGGGAUUUCUAGCAGCAAUACGUGGAUUGCUAUCUAAGAGCUCUUGUUCCCUGAAGGGUGCUAGAUUAGAGAUGUUGGUAGGUUCAUAACUAAUAACAACACAUGAUCUUGGAUAUUUGAUAUUUAUUUUCCAAGGAUUUUGGCGCUAGAUAUAUUUCUUAUAAUGAUGCAGGAAUGCGUAUGUACUCUGGCUGUUGAUGACUCCGAUGAAGUUUCUGUAGCAGCUCAGGAACUUCUUGAUCAUUUAUUCUCCAAACGUACAUAUCACCACAUAGAGAGUGAUAUAAUCAAGAUCUUUAGCAGGUAUUGUUUGUUUGUUGUUAUAUUGUUUCUUUCUUUUGUAACCAGGUCACUUAAUGUGUUUUAUUCUUCUUUUGGGGCUUGUUUAUGAAAACAGACUGCUUGAGCGGCUUCCAAAAGUGGUUCUUGGGAAUGAAGAAUUGCCUGCACUUUCAGUGGCGAAGCAGUUACUUGUCAUCACUUAUUAUUCUGGUCCGCAGUUUUUGGCGAAUCAUCUUCAGUCUCCCGUAUGUAUUCUUUCUUGACACGCUCAUAGGUUUGGUGCCGCUUCUUUCUUCUAUCAGCAAAAAUCUAGUUCCAAAACAACCAUGGUCUAAUAAUGGCUUGCGAUAUAUGAUUAGUUCUUGGCAUUCUGUUAUGUAGAUAACAGCCAGCAGAUUCCUGGAUAUAUUUUCUCUCUGUCUGAGCCAUAAUUCAGCAUUCACCGGUUCUCUUGAGAAACUCAUCGCAGAAAGGCCUUCAUCAUCGACAGGUUACCUCCCUUCAAUCACAGAAUUAAAAGUGGGGUUUCGGGAGACCAGAUACAACCGUACAGUUCCAAAUAUCACUGAAUCAGAUCAAGUAAAAUUAGAGAUAUCGUCGCCCACUAGCUAUAUGUUACCUCGCAUGCCUCCGUGGUUCUCUCAUGUUGGUAGCCAGAAGCUCUAUGAAAUGCUUGCUGGAAUCCUUAGACUUGUAGGUUUAUCCUUAAUGGCAGGUCAUUUCAAAUUCCUUUGAAACCAUUUGUUUCUGAAAAUUACCCUGCAGUUAACUUAUAGAUGAGUUGGUUACUGAUAGUAAAUGAUCUCCUUGUGUUUGUGUUUGCUAGGAUUUAAAAAUGAAGGGCAUUUAGCAGUCAUCCUGGAUAUUCCUCUGGGGGUUUUUCGUAAACUUGUUUCAGAUGUUCGUGUAAAGGAGUAUAAUGGAGAAGACUGGCAAUCUUGGUGUAAUCGAACUGGUUCAGGACAGUUAGUUCGCCAGGCGGCAACUGCUGCUUGUAUACUGAAUGAGAUGAUUUUUGGUUCAACGGAUCAAGCAACUGAUGCUCUCGCAAGACUACUUCAGAAGUCGAGAAAGGGUGGUGACAAACUUUCCUGGAAAAUCUCAUGGAACAAACGUGCAAAAAGUCAUCUGGUUGAUUGUGUUGGUAAGAUCUUGCAUGAAUACCAAUCUUCUGAAGUGUGGGAUCUCCCUGUGGAUCAAAAGACCAUUCCCGGGCAAACCGAUACCAAUGUUCAACAUAUUAGUCUGCAUUUCUUAAGAGACUGUGCAAUGCUAUACCAAGUUAUAAUAGAAGGAGUAGGUGUGUUUUCCUUGUGUCUCGGGAAAGAUUUUGCUUCAAGUGGGUUUCUUCACUCUUCGCUUUACCUUCUGCUUGAGAGUCUUACCUGCUCCAGCUUCCAAGUUAGAAAUGCUUCAGAUGCUGUCUUACGUCUUCUUGCUGCCACCUCUGGCCAUCCCACGGUGAGAAUUUAUGAUAAUGUAAUUGGAGUGUAUAAUCACAUCAAAGUACCCUUUCUGAAAUCAGAAUCUUGCUGUUUUUUGUUUGUUUGUUUUGCAGGUUGGGUAUCUGGUUGUUGCAAAUGCGGAUUAUGUUGUUGACUCUAUUUGUCGUCAGCUGCGCCACUUGGAUCUUAAUCCUGGUGUUCCAAAUGUUCUUGCUGCUAUGCUUUCCUAUAUCGGAGUUGCUCAUGAUAUACUGCCUUUAUUGGAGGAACCGGUAGUGAACAGUUUUUUCCUUCAUUUAACAUUGCCUUUCUUUGAUGUUCGUUUGUAAUCAGUGCGUUAAAGAACUUCUUUCUUUUUUUUUUUUCCCUUUUUGGGGGAUUUGCAGAUGCGAUUGGUUUCCCAGGAACUAGAAAUUGUUGGUAGACAACAGCAUCCAAAUCUAACUUCACCCUUCUUGAAGGUAGAUCCAAUCUUUCAAUUUUUUCUCUUGUAGUCUUUUAAAACUAAUUUGUUUUCUUGGUCUAAGAAACCUCACAACCUUUGUUGGUACUUUUUGUAGGCUGUUGCUGAGAUUGUAAAAGCAUCUACGAACGAGGCUUGCCUAUUACCUGAUCAAGCCCAGUCAUAUAGUGAUCAUGUUAAGACCAAAGCAUCUGAUGCGAUAACAUCAAGGCAAGAGAGAGGUUCAGAUUAUGACAAUAAAGUUAAUGACGAGGAUGAAUGGGAAAACAUACUGCUCGAAUUGAAUCGUUUUAAGCGAUACAGACACACAGUUGGAUCGAUCGCCUCUUCGUGUUUAGUUGCAGCAACGCCUCUCCUUGCAUCAUCAAAUCAAGUAUCAUGCUUGGUUUCCCUCGAUAUAAUUGAGGUAGAUUGCCAUUGGAUUAAUUUUUGUUGAGCUCUCUCUCGGACAUUUCCGCAACUGAACUUAAAUCGUAACUUUCAAUUAUACAGGAAGGAGUAGUGGCACUGGCUAAGGUCGAGGAAGCUUAUCGAGCUGAGACAGAAACCAAGGAAACAAUUGAAGAAGUCAUUGAGUUUGCUUCACUCUAUCAGCUUAAAGACUACAUGAAUGCUACAGACGAUGGAGCAGUCGAAAACCGGCUUUUACCCGCUAUCAACAAAAUCUGGCCUUUCUGUGUUGCUUGCAUACGAAACAGAAAUCCCGUGGUACAUUCUCUAUCUCUUCCUCUUCUGAUUUUAUUUAUAGAUUUAAUGGGUUUUUUUUUCCACAGGCUGUGCGCAGAUGCUUAACCGUGAUAAGCCGAGUCAUUCAAACAUCUGGAGGAGAUUUUUUCUCACGUCGUUUCCGCAACGAUGGACCGGAAUUUUGGAAGCUUUUAACAACAUCUCCAUUCUACAUUAUGACGCCAAAGAACCUCCGGGACGAAAGCAAAUCGGCUCUCCGGCUUCCUUACAGAACUGUUCCCGAGUCGUCUUCUUUGAUUGCUGAAGUUUCCAGCUUGAAAGUGCAGGCUGCACUUCUCGACAUGAUUGCAGAGAUUUCUAGAGACAAACGCAGUGCUUCAGCGUUAGAUGCAGUCUUGAAAAAAGUUGCGGGACUGGUCGUUGGGAUCGCUUGCAGCGGCGUAACUGGCUUAAGAGAAGCGGCUUUGAAUGCGUUGAGAGGUUUGGCUUGCAUUGAUCCUGAUCUAAUUUGGAUUCUGUUAGCCGAUGUGUACUAUUCUCUCAAGAAGAGAGAUUUGCCUCUUCCACCGUCUCCAGAGUUUCCAGAUAUGUCUAAGGUUCUGCCUUCGCGGCCGCUGGAAGAUAGUCGGACAAAGUUUCUCUACGUAGAGUAUGGUGGUCGGAGCUAUGGUUUUGAGUUGGAGUUUAGCUCCGUUGAGACCAUCUUCAAGAAAUUGCAGUCUCUGGUCUUUGUAGACCAAAUGCAUUGUUAAUAAUUUUGCUUGUAAGUGCUGUUCCGAUAACAACAUAUGAAACUAAUUUAUUAUAUAACUCUGAUAAUUCUGGAGAUUGAAAAAUACAUUUGUUACUAAUUUAUUAGGCACUAAUAAAACAGUGGGGGUGAGAUUCAAAAUACGAAAACGGUACGGGGGUUAAAAUGAAAAUUUUAGCAUCGAGAUCCGACCCGGGAAUUCUGAAUCCUGGUCUUAGGGCCCAAACAAACAAAUAAAUAUGUCGUCCCCUUGCCCAUUCUCUGGUCGCUAAAGUGAGUCGGAAAAAAAAAAAAAAAAAAAAUCAUGGGAAGCGAACGGAGCCCCAAGGAGAAGAAGAGAAGCAGAGGUCGGAGCCAAGAUGAUCCUUCGUCUUCCGAUUGUAUGGUUCUUCUUUCCUAUCGUUUUCUUAUUUUUCAGUGUUAGUGAUUUAUCCAUUCGUGUAAAUUACGAGCAUCAUAGCUAUUCAUUCGUGUUCCCGGUUCUGAUUUGAACUUUGAAAAUGUGGACGAUGACAUGAUUGAGAGACUGUAUGUUGAAAUUGUAGUUCUUAUUAAUGGACAGACGAAGAGAAAGUUGUUAAAAGGCAUCGAGGAACGGAGAAAGACGAUGAAAGGACAAGUAGGAGAAGUGACAAGAAGAAGAAGGAGAAGAAAUCUCACAAGCACCACAAAUCGAGUUCAUGUAUGUUGUUAUUUCUUAAGCCAUUUCCGAUUUCUGACAUGAUUGUCAGUAGUGAUAGCAUGCGAUGGGUGGUUAGAAUCACCUUGUUUAUAUAUGUAUAGUCUAGUUAUAAAGUUUGUGGUAUGGUACUAAUAUUCAUGUCUUUGCUUCUUCAUCUUGUUGGUUUGAGCUGUUACUUUGUUGUUGCUGAAUAUAUCUAGUGAGUUGUGUUUUCUUUUUCUUGUAUGCCAUUUACGAAGCAUCAAUGUAGCUUUGUUCUAAUUGUGUGUUCUCCUAGGGAGGAAAGAGUUUGUAGUCAGAUCGAACCUGUUGUUAGGGGAGCAUUAUAACCUGUUGUUUUGGUUACAACUAAACGACUAUUUAUCUCUCAUCAGCAGCAUGACUUCUUCUAUAUCAUGUGUCUCUCCUUUUCAGUAUGAUCUGUUUUUCUUUCUACUGACAUUGUUUUAUUUUUACAGCUAAGUCAAAGGAUGAUAAGCAUAAAAAGAAACAGGUGGAAGGUGACAGCAAGCUAGUGAGCUCUCUCUAUCUCUCUUACUCUGUCAAAUAAUAUACUCAUUCAAAAGGACAUCUGAUAGUAUAUUUCAGUCGAACUAUAUUUGUUUUGGAGACUCUGUUUGUGAUUCUUUGCAGGUCUCUUCCUUUUGUUUAAGCAUGGUUUAGUUACAAAUGUCUCCUUACCCUAUUGUGUAAUGUUUAACGGAUGAUUAUCCUAAUUGAGAUUCUGAUAUAAUAUUUUUCUUUUCCGUCUUCUUCUUCCAGAAAGAGGGGAUUCCAGAGCUAUCGAUCGAGGACUACUUCUCGAAGAACAAUGAGUUUGCUACGUGGCUGAAAGAAGAAAAGCGUACUUUCUUUAAUGAUCUCACUACCGAAGCUGCACGAGAAUUGUUUUCACGUUUUGUCAAGAGAUGGAACAGAGGGAAACUCGAGUCUCGAUACUAUGAGGGAAUCUCCACUGCCCCACGAACAGCUCAUAACUGGAUGAUCAAGCGUAGGUGAAGAAACAAUAACUUCCUCUACUGUGCGUUGUUGGUUACCUCUCUUCUUGCUUCUUAUGUAUACGCAGCCUAAAGGUAUCAGAGAUGCCUCGUUCUGGUUGCUCUACUUAGACCUCUUGUUGCAGUACUUGUUAGAUAGAUUGCUGUUGAGAGACUUGUUUGUAGUCGAGCCAGUUUUCAGUCGAAGUAAAAACAUACCAUUAAAGUUGCUGAAGGACUAUCUCAUUAAUCCUUAUGUAAACCAAAAACGGCUUAGGUUUACUGCUUUUAGUUGUCCUCUUAUUCGGCUAUUGCACUUUUCAAGAUUUUGAUUUACUGCGGAUUGUGUAUUAUUACGGAGUUGGCAGCAUACUGUAGCUGCAGCUUCGGUUUAAGUAAUUGGUUAUAUGAAACUAGAUUUUCACAAAAGAGACUUUCAAAAAGAGUGAAUAAACAGAUUCUAAAUCGGGUUAAGAGUCUUAACAAAUUCCAAAAGUUUUACAGAAGCAAGAACCAUAACUCUGUGCAACUAGCCAGAAAAAAAAAAAAAAAAUGCUGAAAUUCAAAUCCGGGAUUGUUGCACGGUUAAGUGAAAGAUUACUCGACUUCAGCUAAGUAAUCAUCAAUUUCUGCUGGUGUUAGUACCCUGCAUAUAACAUUUUCCUUUCAGAUUUCGAUGGCAGCAACAAUGAUUCUUGAUAUGAUUAGUUUGCAGUCUUGAACGUUUACCUGAAAACUUUGUCAGCACCUAUUUUGCCGAUCUCAAUGUUUUUGCUCGAGAUUUCUCCCUCAAAACUGUGAAGAGAAAGAAAGACACAAAGAGGUUUUAGGCAAUUUGUGAAAUUUCGAAAUAUAGAAAGAAAGUAGUGUUGGUUAAACAUUCUCACCCUUCCUUCAAUGUCAAUAUUGCCGUGUGAAUGGCAUCAUCAAGUUCCAUAUCUUCUGUGUACCUGUUCAGAGGAAAAGAUGACAUGACAUGUUUCCAAGAUCAUAAACUCAUCAUCACAAAUGGUAAGUUAUUAUCACCUCUUUUCAAGAAACGUCUUUGCAUUCGAAACAUUCUUUCCCAUUGCCGAAGCUUUCCAUGAGAAAUAAGAGCCAGAUGGAUCCACCUAGUGAAAAAUGAAAAUCAUGAAACAAGAUGUUUCUGAUUUAUGGGUUUUACUUCAACUUUUAGCACGAUGGUUAUAUUUUCUUUAAUGUUCUAGAUACCUGAUACAGUUGUGGACCCUUGUCAUCAUACCCAGCCACCAGUAGAGAAACUCCAAACGGCCUAACACCACUAUUAACAGGAAAAGGAGACUGAUUUUAGAAGCAAGUUUCAGUAGUCUAGUUUAUGUAUAUAGAUUUUCUUUAACAACAUUAUUUCAUGCCAAAAUCGAUCUUUAAAACUAAGGUUAAAAGCUUUAAAGUUGCAAUCGCUAAGCUAGUCCUUUAACCCUGUUGAGCAUAUGGGAGAUUGUUUAUACACUAGACAUAGUACUUACCCUGACUGAGUGAACUCUUGCAUCACCGUGGCAGUUUCCCUUACAAGUUGAGUAACAGGGAUGGGUUCCUGCAACAAUAAAACCCCUUAAAAGUUGAAUUAACUGAGCAAACAGGGUUAUGGAUAUGCAAACUCAUAUCGACUGGAAUUAUCAAAUCCAAAACAGCAAGGAUUGAAGAUUUGUCAUACAGUGUUACUCGAUACUCGAAGAAAAAAAGGUAGACAAAAGGAGAAGAUAUAAAGAUUACUUUGUACAAUCGGAGAUAUUGCUCAGCCUGCUUCCUACUCUUUCGCACAAGAACACGAAAAUCAGGACCCAUACCACUACAUAAAAGGCAAUACCAAAGUUAGCAUUAAAAUUGAUGAGGGAACUAAGGAAAAGGUUGAUCUUCAUCAAUAGCACUAGCAUUUAAUGAGAGAUACUAAGUACCCAGAACAAAAUAAAAAGAAGGUCUGAUAAAUCCAAAUUUCAAAAUAUGAAAUCAAAUGCGCAAUUAGCAAAAGAAGUAGGGAUAGCUGUGGAGAAGAACCUGUAAACAGUUCCAAUGUUGGGAGUCAAAUGCUGAAUCUUUUGAACCUGAAAGAGACAUCAGAUAAAAACAUUAGUAUCAUAGGAGUGACUGAAACUAUGCAACCUAGGAGGAAAAAGCAGGCACAGAAGGAAGAGGUUAUCAACUUACAGACGCUUCAUCGACAAGAAUAGAGGGCAGUUUCUUUUCUGUUGCAAUGACAACUCCGUUUGAAGCUGCAGAAAGAAAGUAAACCAGGGUCAUGAUUAUAUUAUAUAUAUGUACAAGUUGCUUAAAAUCUCUUUCUAGAAAUUAAACGAAAAAACCUUUAAUUCCCAGAGAUGUUUGGCCUGAUCCGACAGCUGUUAAGGCAUGUUCUAUCUGAACCAGCUUCCCUGAAGGGCUGUUCCAUAAACCAGAAGCGAAAUUAAACACAGAAGAAACAGAUCCAAAUUACUAGAAAAUGAGAUGCAUUUUGUAAGAUAGAUACCUGAACGUGGUGAGAGAAAAAGAGUACUGACUGUCACCCAUUGCAAAGAUACCUUUAAGAAAUCUGUAAAAAUCCAAAAUCAUUGUCAUUUUCUAACCAGUUUUUUUUUUUUUUUGCAACAUGGAAGUGCUGAAUCUGCCUAAACCACAAAUAUCCAAAUGAUCCCACACAUUGAUUUCACACAACUAAACCCAAUUAGUAGAACAACUAAAGUCUGAGCAAGUACACUGGUGCGAUUAAAUCUGACAAAAGCUUAGAUGGAAAAAAGGGGACGACAGUCUCAACGGAGAUGAGCUGAAUAGAUGAAAAAGAUAAGAUAACAAUCCGAAUUAAGAACCGUAAGGGCAUCAACUCGAAUUCAACGAUCAGCUCUCUAGCUCAAACUUGGAGACUAACAAAAUUUAAUCUUUAAUAACCCAAAAAAUUCAAUAGAUUUUCAGUUUUCAGUUAAGAUUGGAGAAAAGAAACGCAUCCAAUAAAAAAAAGUAACAGAAGAUAGCAUCAUUACCUCUUGAUAUAUGGAUAACGAAAUGCAUGCAAGAGAGAAAGAGAUGAACCAAGUGACGAUUUUAAGCUUUAGGUUUCUUGCACAAAGGGUUGCACUGAGAGAGAGAGAGAGAGACUCUUCUUCACAUGAAAAAGAAGAUGAAUAACGAAACGACGUCGUUUUAUGGCCUUUAUUACACUUGCCGUAAUUUACAAACCACUCCAAUAUUUUAUAUGUACUUUGGGUUUGGACCACAUUAUAUUUAUUAUUUAUUACCACACGCACUCUCGCGUCCGCGGUCGACUCGGACAAUCAUAAUCGUGGCAAACCUGGUCCGAAGUCACUGUGGAUCUUUCUCCGUCGGUGGGAGUUUGUUUCUUCGCUCAUUCAUGUGAAGACUUGUUGUUGUAUUGCCUAGCUAUUUCUUUUGCUAGCUAUUUCUUUCGGAAAUUGAACGGAGCAAGCAUACGUUGUGAAAUGCCACUGCUUGUUUUGUUGAGGCAGAUUCAUUUUUGAUUCUGGGUGAUAAAUUUCCUCCUUUAUUUCUCCGUUGCUAUUAAUCUCUGGAUUACGACCUUCGAAUGCAUUCGUUGGGCAAGAGAAAUUUCUUAGCUGUUACCAGAUUAGUGUUUACUAGUUCGCGUUACAGAAUCCCCUUGUCUGCGACCUUUAUCACCAAGUGUUCGACGUUAUGCCUGGAUGAAGCUGAAGAAUGCAUUGACGAUUCUGGGCUGUCGGUUGUGUCGUCUAAGAAACUGAAUCACAGAAAAGAAGGUAAUUGUGUUGGAGAAGUUAGUGAUAAAGAGAGAGUGAGAGAGAUUCUUAGUCCUUUACAAGUUCUACGGAGAUGGGGUUGUGAUGAUGAUGAAAUAUCAAAGCUUUUCACUCGUAGGCCUUCUUUGCAGAGAGCCAAUGUCUCUCAACUAGAGUUUAAGUUAAGCCUUCUUAAGCCUUUGGGAAUCACAUCUUCAGACCUUGUGAAGAUUCUAAAUUGUCGGCCAAGGUUCUUUAGCUGCCGUAUUCACCUUGUCCUUGAUGAAAGAAUCAACUACUUCAUGGAGAUUUUGGGGUCAAAAGAGGUGUUGCGCAAAGCCAUUAUCCGGAAUCCCUCGCUCAUGUUGUAUGACCUCGAUCACAAGAUCAAACCCGCGAUAGAGUUCUACAAACGGCUGGGCUUUAGCCAACAGGAUCUUGUCGCAAUGUUGAUAUCUCGACCCACGUUGAUCCCAAGAACAAACUUUAACAAAGAGAAGUUUGAAUACAUUCGGAAAACUGGGGUCACUAGAGAAUCCAAGAUGUUUAAAUAUGUUGCAGCCAUCAUCGGGGUCUCCAGGAUGGAAACAAUCCAAGAGAAAGUUGGAAACUUGGAAAAGUUUGGGUUCUCGGAAGAAGAGAUUUGGCAUCUGUGUGGAAAAUGCCCAAUUCUUCUCACUCUUUCAGUUGAGAAAGUUCAGAGAAACAUGACUUUCGUCAUAGCCUCAAUGAAACUUCCAGCUCAUUCGGUGAUUAGGCACCCUUGUUUGCUUCUCCUCAACCUGGAGACUCAUCUAAAACCUCGUGCGGAUCUCGUUAAGAGAGUCUUGGAAAUGCGUCUACAGCCACUAAUAAAAGAAGUGAACAUUUUCAGAGCGCUGAGGAUGAGCGAGGAACGGUUCUUGAAGGUAUAUGUAAUGUGUCAUUCACAAGAUAUUGCAGCCGAGCUGAUGGAGUUUUAUGAGAAAUCCAAAAACAUGAAACGUUUGGCUGAGAAAUCCAAGAAAUACAUCCGUAAAGGAUUCCCCUUUUGAAUCUCUUUUUCAUUGGCCACUAUUCCAUUUUUUUCUUGUUUUAUGAAUUUGUAAACUACAGAUGUAACAUUGUGUAGAAUUUUUCGAUCUUCCAAAUUUUGUAGAAGGUGGUCCACAUUGCAUUUCAUGGUGUUCUUCUUAUCCAAGAGUUGCUCAGAUAAUGCAUCAUUUGAUUUUGGUUUGACGCGUUUCCUUUGUAGUUAUAAUCUCUCGUCUUUUUUCUUGGUUUGGUUAUAGUUUCGUUUAAUUGAGAUAUACAUAUAGUAACAGUUCGUUUUACUUUACGGUUUGGCUUUAGAAUCGGUUCACAUUUCGAUACAGUUUUGGUUUAAAAUAAAAUUACAAUUCCACCGGAAUAGGAAAAGUAUCAAACAAAACACAAAACGAGAAGAACCACGUUUUGGUGAAACGGCCAAAGACGCCCUAGACGUGUCUCUCUUCAUGACCCCGUUCGUGGCGGCAGUGACAAAAUCCUCCUUUUUUUUUUUUAUAAUAAAAACGUUCGCAAAGCUGCAACCUUUUUGGCUUUUAUAGUAGUAGUUGAAGAGAAUCAAUCUGACCUGACAGCUUAAAUAACUUUGGCGUCUUUGGAAGCCAAGCCAUCUGUGUUGAGUUGCAUUGCAUAGAGAAUUGAGGUGAUAUGGCGUCGACCCUUUUCUCCAGAAGUUUCUUGGCGGCUAGUCACCGCCUGAUUACUCCUCCUCUCUCUUCUCGUCUUCCUCAAACGACCUUUAGUUCCGCCGCCUUUCUCAGUGUAAGUCGAAACUCUAAAUCGAAUUUGAUCCGCGAUCCGUUAGCAUUCGUUUCGUAACUGCUGGGUUCUGGUGGUUCAUCUGUUUGAGAGUUCCUGGAUUGUUUUGGUGGGGUUUCGAAACAAACAGUAGUUUUGGUGGGGUUUCGAAACUGUUGAAUACGGAAAUGUGAUUUUAUUAUUUUUGAUGAGGUCUAUGUCAAUCGAUGCUUUUCUUAUUUAAGUUUGAAAUUUGACUGAUUAUCGGACUCUUUUGGUUGGUGUUCCGAUUGUGCGUUUGUGUGGUAAUUGCAGAAGAGAUCAUUCUACUCUCAUCUAGGUGUUGCUUCUACAGCCUAUAAAUCAACCACAUGGGCUCGUCGAGCCAUGGCUUUGGCUGGAGUUGGGACAAAAGCCGGUUACUCCACAUCAUCCAUAUCAACCAGUGAGCCUGUUGUUUCUGUUGAUUGGCUUCAUGCUAAUCUUAGAGAGCCUGAUUUGAAGGUGACUGACUCCCCUUGGUGCCUUUUUAUUUUUUUAUAACUUUGUCUGCCUUACUAAACCUUACCUGAUUUGAUUAUGCUCAGGUUUUGGAUGCUUCAUGGUACAUGCCAGAUGAACAGAGAAAUCCGAUCCAAGAAUAUCAGGUGAGAGUAGUAGAGAAGCUCUUGAAUUUCACAAAUGUUUGUGCUGUAUUUGUUCUGGAUGAGUGCAAGCGCUCUUAAGUAGUAGAGUUAGUUUACUACUUGAUACUGACGAACUUAAACUGACCCUCUCCUAUAGGUCGCUCAUAUUCCCCGCACUCUCUUCUUUGAUUUGGAUGGAAUAUCAGAUCGAAGAACUAGUGUAAGUAUCACCAUCUUCUUUUUUACAGAAGAUGUACCCGUGUAGUUUACUUUGAAGUUCUUUCUUCACGUUGAUCUCGGUUUUAUAAAUAAUUGAAAUAUAUAUUAGCUUCCUUUGCUGCCAUUUUCAAGAUAUGGUAUACAGCAUAUAUCUGUUUUUGUAAGAUCAAAUGAAAAGUCUGGACUCUUUGCUGUUAACGUAUGUAUUAUGUGUUUUGUUUAAGACUUCUCUUUGCUUCUAUCUUGUUUGUAACACAACCAUCUAAAGAAUUGUAUGAUUUAUCAACUACUUGUAACAGUUGCCACAUAUGUUGCCCUCUGAGGAAGCUUUUGCUGCUGGUUGUUCUGCUCUUGGAAUUGAUAACAAAGAUGAAGUGGUUGUUUAUGAUGGAAAGGGGAUCUUUAGUGCAGCCCGUGUAUGGUGGUGAGUUUUAUGGUUCUCGUUUGUUCUUUAAAUCCUUUUGCUUUGUUCCGUGUCUUUUUUUAAGUAUUGUUAGAAUUGAUAUGUGCUUCUUCAUUUUACUCUUAAAUAGGAUGUUCCGAGUUUUUGGACAUGAAAAAAUUUGGGUACUCGAUGGAGGUCUACCAAGAUGGCGUGCCUCAGGUUAUGAUGUUGAAUCUAGCGCAUCAGGUGAUGCUAUUCUGAAAGCCAGUGCCGCAAGUGAGGCUAUAGAGAAAAUCUAUCAAGGACAAACCGUAAGUUGUUCUUUUGGAUAAUGGUUCUCCAGUUUGCAUUCCCAUUCAUGAUGAGAUUUGAGCAGUAAAGAUAUGUUUUUUUGUUAUAUCAUUAUCUCUCUCGUGCUUGCACAGGUCAGUCCGAUAACCUUUCAGACAAAGUUUCAGCCACAUCUAGUGUGGACACUUGAUAAGGUUGGCAUUUCUGGAUGGUUUUGUCUUGGCUUUAAUGUUAUAUGAUUUCAUUAUUUCUUCGAUCAUUCUGUCUAUCGACCAUAAAUUUGAAUCUUCGUAAGAUAAUCCUAAAGAUGAUCCCACUUCAAGUUCUUUAAUUGGGUCUAUAUUAAUACCCAUCUUUCAGAAUUGUGUUUGUGAUUAUGAUAUUAUCAGUUCUACAAUAAUUUUCAGUGUGUUGGUAGAUGGUAGGCACCUUGUUUUGAGUUUUUGUUUGUGUUAUUCUAACUUGUUCAGAUUCUUAUUUUAUGUCAUGGCUCUCUUUGGUGAAUUUACAGGUCAAGAACAAUAUGGAGGAUCCGACUUAUCAACACAUAGACGCUCGUUCCAAAGCCAGGUAAUAUAAUUUAAUAAGUUAUUACUUGUGUGGACUAAUGAUUUGCCAAGGAAUUUAAGAAUUUUUUCCCUUUGUACUANNNNNNNNNNNNNNNNNNNNNNNNNNNNNNNNNNNNNNNNNNNNNNNNNNNNNNNNNNNNNNNNNNNNNNNNNNNNNNNNNNNNNNNNNNNNNNNNNNNNNNNNNNNNNNNNNNNNNNNNNNNNNNNNNNNNNNNNNNNNNNNNNNNNNNNNNNNNNNNNNNNNNNNNNNNNNNNNNNNNNNNNNNNNNNNNNNNNNNNNNNNNNNNNNNNNNNNNNNNNNNNNNNNNNNNNNNNNNNNNNNNNNNNNNNNNNNNNNNNNNNNNNNNNNNNNNNNNNNNNNNNNNNNNNNNNNNNNNNNNNNNNNNNNNNNNNNNNNNNNNNNNNNNNNNNNNNNNNNNNNNNNNNNNNNNNNNNNNNNNNNNNNNNNNNNNNNNNNNNNNNNNNNNNNNNNNNNNNNNNNNNNNNNNNNNNNNNNNNNNNNNNNNNNNNNNNNNNNNNNNNNNNNNNNNNNNNNNNNNNNNNNNNNNNNNNNNNNNNNNNNNNNNNNNNNNNNNNNNNNNNNNNNNNNNNNNNNNNNNNNNNNNNNNNNNNNNNNNNNNNNNNNNNNNNNNNNNNNNNNNNNNNNNNNNNNNNNNNNNNNNNNNNNNNNNNNNNNNNNNNNNNNNNNNNNNNNNNNNNNNNNNNNNNNNNNNNNNNNNNNNNNNNNNNNNNNNNNNNNNNNNNNNNNNNNNNNNNNNNNNNNNNNNNNNNNNNNNNNNNNNNNNNNNNNNNNNNNNNNNNNNNNNNNNNNNNNNNNNNNNNNNNNNNNNNNNNNNNNNNNNNNNNNNNNNNNNNNNNNNNNNNNNNNNNNNNNNNNNNNNNNNNNNNNNNNNNNNNNNNNNNNNNNNNNNNNNNNNNNNNNNNNNNNNNNNNNNNNNNNNNNNNNNNNNNNNNNNNNNNNNNNNNNNNNNNNNNNNNNNNNNNNNNNNNNNNNNNNNNNNNNNNNNNNNNNNNNNNNNNNNNNNNNNNNNNNNNNNNNNNNNNNNNNNNNNNNNNNNNNNNNNNNNNNNNNNNNNNNNNNNNNNNNNNNNNNNNNNNNNNNNNNNNNNNNNNNNNNNNNNNNNNNNNNNNNNNNNNNNNNNNNNNNNNNNNNNNNNNNNNNNNNNNNNNNNNNNNNNNNNNNAAAUAAAUCCUCUAACAGUGUCCGGUUUAGGCUAGUGUUAAGAGUUAGACUGACAAUCUGUAGAGGGUUAUGUCGUGUAGACAGGUUAGAUUUGUGCACAAACUUUCAUCAUUCCUUCGAAUCCAAUAAGUAGAAUACCUUGUUGAUUAUUAAACAAAUCCUAACAUUACACGUCUUACAAAGUACCGUAAGGACAUAGACUUAUAUGCUUAAUUUCACCCAAAAUUCCGUAGAUUUUAUAAUUAUAUAUCAUACAUCUCUAGAUUUUAUGAUACAAAAUCAUCUAACCUACAUUAUUUAAAAGUGGGUGCGUUAAUUUUUUUUAAUCAUUUAGCUACAAAUUUGCCACAGUGAAAACUUUACCAAAAGUUUCUAGUUACCCAACUAAACCUUUGACUGGUUCACCAAAUAUUAAUUAAUGAUUCUACAUCAACUUUGACACUUUGUCAUUAGAGAAUACGAUUUAUUAUCUGUCUAUUAUAGAAGAAAAAUUAUAUGAAGAUUUUAACUUUAUGUAUUGAUGUUAGGGCCUUGGUCGUGCGGUAUGUAGAGUGAGUGUUACAUAAAACCAUAUGUGUAUAACAAAAUUAAAAUUACUCACCAUUCAAUAGACUCUUAAAUUUUAUCAUUUACCUUUUAAACUAAAUAAAAAGUUACCUAAUAUUCCCUCUGUUUUAUUAUAAGUAAUGUUUAAGGUUUUAGUGCAUUAAUUAAUAAAACAUAUAAUUUACCUAUUUUUCAUAAAAACAUCAUUAACUAAUAUGAAUUUAACCAAUUAAAAAUAUGAUGUUAAAUGUAAAUGGUCAAAAAAUAUUAAAUAUAUUAAAUUUUUGCGUAUGAAAUUAUAAACAUCACUUAUAGUAAAAUAAAAAAAAUUGGGUAAAACAUCAUUUAUAAUGAAAAAGAAGAGUAAUUAACUAAAAGUUAGAUAAGAAUCCAUCGGUUUACGGUCCAAUCAAAAAAAUAAAAUAUAAGUAUACUUUAAAAUUAUUUUCUUGUAUUUAAUAUAAUUUACAAGUAUGCAUUUUAAAUUAACGUCUGAUUUGAUACUAUGAUAUAAAUUAGAACCAAAACGUUCAUCCUAAUUUCACGCGCCAGGGAUCUAAUAGAAAAUAGUUUUUGACAUCUUUUCGUUAAAAACAGCGUUUUUGGUGGGUUAUAGUCCAGGCAUUUUGACCACACGCGCUAUACGCGCAACUGAUGCGCGUGGUUUUAACAGAAGUAGUGUAUCCCGAUAACAUGUGGGCUCUAUAUAUUAAUUAAGACCCAUGAAUAUAUGGACUUUGACGGGCCCAAUUCCUAUAUACCAUAACUCCAUCAUGGACUAUUGUUUUACUGGCCCGCGUCAUUAUUUAUUUUCCAUGGAUUAUCAUUACAAAUCGAAUUGGCUAAUAAAAAGUCAUAGACUUACAACAGUUCACACUCUAAACACUUCAUUAUUUGAUGAGUAAUGUGAUUAACAUCUCACGAACAACACGUAUUUUAUAUAGAAAGAGAGAGAUCUAGCCCCAAGGCUCAAGCCAUGCUCUGGAAACCUGCCCCAUGGUCAGAGCCAAAGCUUUACGUGGCAGGCUGGCAGCCAUUUGGUUGGUCAAAAGGACUCUGUUUUGAUCUUUUAUCAUCUGUUGGAUUUACGCUUCCUGAUAUGUUCUCGAACUUGUUUCAUAAAGAACCUUUUAAUGACAGGUACUUCACACCGAGUAAGCUCUGCACCCUUGGAGUCAACCAAUUGAUUUGUUAUUGAUGUUCCAUUCAAGUCCAGUGCUUUCAUUGUGUUGGUACCAGCGAGCUCAGGAGACGCAGUGACAUUUGUGCAACCACGAAGAUACAAGUACUUGAGUUGUGCCAGUUUCUUUAGCGUUGGCGGAAGGUUCAUGAGCUUCUCACAGCCAGACAUAUUGAGAUAACGAAGCUCUGUAUUUCCCCCUGCUGUUGAAGGCACUGCUUCUAUUGCUGUUCUGUUCAGAUUCAACCAUUGUAUGUUUGUUCCGACUACUGGAAAUGACGUUACGUUUGGACAGUUUGCGAGACCAAGAUCAGUGAGAGACUUCAGGUUCUUGAUGCUGUCAGGGAGAUUCAUCAGUCUCUUGCAGCUGGAGAGGCGUAGCUCUCUGAGACGAGAGAGGCGUUCGAUUGAUGGUGGUACUUGUUGAAUAGUCGUCUCGUUCAGAAGUAAUUUCUCGACAGUGUCUGAGAUAAAUGGGAACUCUUCCAAGCUAGUGCAUCCGUCCAGAUGAAGAAAUCUGAGGGAUUUUAAGUUGAUGUUGUUUGGGAGGCUCCUUAGUUGCUUGCAGUUGCUCAGUUUUAGGUGGACGAGUUUGUUGAGUUUUCUAAGAGAGGACUCGGGGAUUUCCACCAAGUUAUCACAAUUGGAGAGUUUCAGAAUCUCAAGAUUAGUCGCCUUUGAAAGGUCUGGAAACUCGGUGAGGUGCUUGCAGCUUGUGAGGUUUAGGCUCUGUAAGUUUGCAAGGUCCUGCACCAUAAUGACAAGAGAAGAAGCAUGAGCAAUAUUAUUCAAGAGGAGAAGAAGAAGCUCCUGUUGAUACCAUAUCAAAAUGGUACCUGAGUUCCAUUCCAAACUGUUUCUAUCGAGCUGUGUGAGAGGUUGAGUUCAACUAGAGAGGUCAUACAAAACUGAGAUGGCAAUGAUUUAAGAUUAUAAGCAUCCCAACGAAGAUACCGCAGCGUAGGGAGGUAGUUGAGGCCAUCCAACAUCCUUGUUCUGCUCUGUCCAAUGCUGGAAUUGGUAUAAAAUUUAAGUAGUUUGAGAUUUGGCAUCCUCCUAAAGAUUUCAGGGGUUAUGUUGAGCUCAUUUCCAUUAGACAUGUCGAGAAAUAUGCUUUCCACCUCAAUUGAUUCAUCCCCCUAGAGAUAAAAUAAACAUUGAAUUGUCGAGAUCCAAGAAAUGAGACAUAAGAGUGAGCUAAAUUAAUAAAGAUGAUCGAUCAGCUUACCACAUUGGUGGAGAAAACGUGAUUUAUAUCCUCAAAAUCCCACAGCAUUAAACGUUUCCAUGGCCUUUCAUCUUUGCCUUCACAUAUGAUAUCCUCAGCCAUGUCUUGGAGCAAGUCAUGAACCCACAAUCGAUUUGUGUUUUUUGACAAGCUAAUCAUACACCUCUCCAUCAGAGCUAUAAUACUCGGUCUGGUGGGCAAUUUUCUGCGCCUGGAAGACACGAAAAACAGGUCUAAUAAUUUUCUAACUCUGUCCAUACUUACUCCGUUGAAACAAAGCGCAAUGUAAAGAAAGAUCUUCUUUUCUAGCUCAUCCAAUGCCUCAUAACUUACUCUUAACCCCUUCAACAGUGAAUUAUCGCUGUUAUGUCUCAGCAAAUCCAGUUUGUCUUCCCAGAAUUCUAGGUCCCGGCGAUAUAGAGAUCCUCCGACGAGUUGAAGUGCUAAUGGAAGACCACCAAGCUGCUUCACAACAUCUAUUGAGAGCUCUCUAUAAUCUUCACAUGGACGAGGUUGCUUGAAGGCAUGCUUGCUAAAGAGCUGAAGUGCUUGAGUGGUCCUCAGAGGCAUCACUUCAUAGAUACGUUCGACAUCAUGCAGGUCUAGAACACGUCUGUCUCGAGUGGUGAUAAUGAUUCUGCUUCCUGGUCCAAACCAGUCAGGUUUUCCAGCCAAUUCGUUUAGCUGUUGUAUAUCGUCAACAUCAUCAAGAAUAAGAAGAAUCCUUUUGCCACGUAAUCGUUCUAUCAUCACAUCGGAAUCUCUAUUCCAUGAAUUCAUGUCUUUCUUUCGGAAGAUUUCUGACAAGAUUUUCUCACGUAAAUGUGAUGGACCAUACCGUUUAAAGUCUCUUUUCACAUUCUCUAAAAAGGAAGCACCAUCGAACUCGCUCAAGAAGACUUUAUAGACAUAUUUUGCGAUGGUGGUUUUGCCUAUACCACCCUUUCCCCAAAUUCCGAUCAUUUGGACAUCAUGAGGAUCUAGGCUCAUCAAAGGAUAUAUACUUCUCAUGUGUGUACUCAUUCCUAUCAAUUCACCAGUAUAACUGGAAGACACUGGUGAGAACAAUCUGUCGGAAAGAUCUUGAACAAGCUCUUCGAUAAGCUUCGACUCCUCGUUCCUAAAUCAAGAUGUUCAGUUCUCAAACAAUGAAAUUGUAUCUGUGUAAAUGUCAGUAGAAGCUGGUAGCCAGAGAAUCUAAAUGUGCUCACCAGUUCCGGGAAUCCCAGCCAGAGAUCAAUCCUAUGUUGGCCAUGGCUUUUCUCCAUGUUUCCACAGUUUUUGUAUCAGGUCUCUUGUCGUGCUCAGCAAAGGCCUUGGCGAAAUUCCCAGAUUGUUUCUUCACAUGAGAAGGGUCAACGCCAAAGAAAACGGGGAUCAGUUCGAGGCGUUUCUUCUCCACGUAAUCUGUGAUGUGCACAAGCUCUUGCAAACACCAGCGAGAAGUCGCGUAGUUCUCAGAGAGCACGACGACGGCGAAUCUCGACUGUUCAAUGGCUUCCAAGAGCGCCGGGCUGAUGAAACUGCCACGCUGGAGUUCUGUAUCGUCACGGAAAGUGUGGAUCCCCUUGUCGGUGAGAGCUUUGUAGAGAUGACUGAGGAAUCCUUUGCGUACAUCCGUUCCCCUGAAGCUGAGAAACACAUCGUACUUCCACAAGGACCGGGACGAGGAGGAUGAGGCCAAUGUUUCCGCCGCCGGAGUAACGCCUGUGAAAGUCACAGGAUGUAAAAGUUGCGUUGCUUUUUCUCUCCUGAGAAGAAAGUGAAGGAGACGUCCUAGUCCCAACCAGACGACAAGGACAGAGAAAAUACCGAAGAAAAAAACUGCAGCCAUACAGCAAAAGAAAAUACAGUACUAUAGUCGUUCAAGGAAACUCAUAAAGUCACAUUUCGGAGACUUGAUUUCUAUCAGGGUCCACACGGACAUUCACCUUUUGACCGACACGAUUAAUUCAUGGAUCAUUGAAAUCUAAUAACCUGAUUAACAAUGUAUUCAAUGCUUUUUAUUUUAUUUUUCCUUUUUUGGUGAUCGAGAGAACCGUCUUCUUACCGCCAUACAUAUCAACGUGGUCCUAAAUUCCAGUAAGACCUUUGAUUAUAAGCCACUCAAAUGAUUUUGUUCGUGCAAGUGAAACAUCGGCAUCCUGUAACCUAUAUCAAACAACACAUACUAAUGAUAUAAUUAGAGAGAACCCAAGGAUGCGCCAAAACCAACCUAUUAAUCUUCUCCUCCAUAACAAACCAAAGAAAAAUGAACGAUCAUAAUUUAUAUUAUAUAACGUCAACCCUCUCAACAUUAACAGAUGCAGCAAUCUAAGGCGAUUAUCUUUAACAUUUACAAAAUAGAAUCUUAAACAUCCAAGACUUUUCAACUCUCUCGGAAAAUAGAUAAUAUACAAAAUCCCGUCUACACUCCAAUCACAAUGCUUCCCAUGAAAACUUCAUAAACUGCAACACCAGCGUGGGCUUCAACGUUUGAUAACAACUGCAUCACAAUCACAACAUGACGAAUCAAAAUGAGGUUCCUCUAAGAACCGAAUAUUGAGAUAACAUCAUUUUUGCAAUUGUAGAGGCAAGUCAAAGCAACCACAUCAACGGUCCCAUACCUGAUCUAAGCAACUCUAUGGUAAACAGAAAAGGUACAUCAGUGAUUUCAUUGAACACUAACUUUAACCUAAGACCAAGGACGAGGAACAACAAUCCAGCAAUAUACCACAAUCAUCCUCUUCACCUGCAGUUUGUUCAUAUACUACCUGACUAAACUAAUAACACUACACAAAAAGACCUCAAAGUUGAAACCUCACAUGAACAGCUGACAACAGGCAAUCAGUAGCAUCCUUUGGUAUCAUUGUACACUGUAUAACCACAUGGGACCCUUCAGCAUCAAAGAAGUUCAUACUUAACAAUCUUAUAAGGCCAUGACCCCACGAGAGUUUGGUCAAAUCUCCGGGUAAGUGUUAGGCAAGGCAAAUAACAACCGCAAACGUGAAGAAAGUAACAGGGAUAUAAACCUGAAACGGAAUACACUUCAGUAACCUUUUAACUUCACCCCACGAGAGUUUGGUCAAAUCUCUGGGUAAGUGUUACCUUGCAUCAAGUAAUACAUGAACCGAUGAAAGGGAAGGCAACUAAGCACCUCAAAAAUGAAGUAACAAGAAUAUAAACUAAAACGGGAUAGACACUUCAAUAACCUUUUAACUUCCCCCUACGUAGAAGAUUGUAAGCCUCUCAGAGUUGUCUUCCUACACAAAAUGUUUAAAUGUUGUGCAUUUCAACCAAUGAGACACAAAGCUUAUAUAAUCAAGUAUUUAUCGUCCCAGUAAAUCUGUAAGCAAAACUCACUUGUCUAGUCUCUUCCUGCAAACAUAACACUCGCUUGUCCCUUCUUUAAAAUUCUGCCUCGUACAGGAAAACACAUCUUUCUUUUUGGAAUAAAAAUCACCUUCAGUGAACUCAAAAAGACUUUCCCAUGAAAACUUCACAAACUGCAACCCUAACAUAGGCUUCAAUGUGUGACGGAGCAUAUUAAGGUUCACGAGAUGAUUAGUUGAGGAAACAUCACUUCCCCAAUCGUAAGAUCUCAACAAAAGUAACUAGAAUGGAGAUUUUUCGUGUUAGCCAGAGAGUUUUUCCCUGCAAGCCAAUAUGUCCAAGGACUACGAUUUGGAGGUAACAAUCCUACAACAUAUUUAAUCAAUCUCCACCAGAAGUAAGCAUAUUAAGCCUCACCUGAAAGCAAACAACACAUGUGUCCCCCACAAAAAUCAAUUGAGGACUUCAUUAUCAAAUGUUUCAGAACCAUUAAAACCAGCCAGGAAGAAAGAAACCUCAGAAGUCAGAAAUAAAGACGAAUAUCAUCAAAACCAAUGUGCCUGCUAUGAGCCAGCCCCCAUGAGGUCACACAACCAGCAAGAAUCACUUAAAUAAAUACCUAACUGAAGAGAAUAUGAGCAUACACCAUGACCAUUACUAACAAUCAGUGUGGACCUACAAAAUAACUCGAUGUGGCAGACUAGCAGUUUUAUGACCACCAAAAUACGAUGUAUAAAUGUUGAGGUAUAUGAUGAAACCUAUAAUCUUCAAAAGCUUCAGACAUUAACCAGAUAUUGCUGAAAAACUGAGAAUCAUCAUCAAAAGGCCAGAAGACUAAAUCUUAAAAUCAAUAGAACAAGUAUAAACUCUGAGCGUCCACACCUUCAGAUAUGUCAGCCUACAGAGUUUUUCAACCAUCCUGUCCAGGUAAAUCCCAGAGCAUGAAACAGAAGAGUCACCAAAACAAAAAGUUUUUAUGCAUAACUGACGAGCGAACUCAAAGAACCUUCAAUGUUACCUUCUCUUGCUGGAGAACAGACCAACCCAUAAGUAAAAUAUACUGGAUCCUCAAAAUCUGUAGCACAGUUCCGCUCAGAGAGAAGCAGAAGACAACAAAAUUAAUAGCAUCAACUCUCAGGAAAUAAAUAGCCUCGUCAAAGCAGAAACAAAGAAGAAAAGAUGGAACCCUUCAAUUGGAGGUUGGAGCUUACUUUUCUUUAAUACCCAGUAAACUAUAACAGUCAGAAGUAAUUCAAAAAUCAACAAAGACGCAAUAAUCAAAAGCCAAAGAAACCUAAGAAUCAAACCUCAGAAGAAAAGUAGCUCAUAACACCUGACCUGGAUCUACCAGAUAUGGAAGAUCCAAAUUUGUCCCUACUGAGAGAUAACUAGGCAAAUUCAUGAUGUACAGUUACAGGGAGUGUAGUCGAGCAGACCAAAACCUUUGCAAAAUCAAACUCCAAUGCAAUGAUAAGUUUCAUCCAGUAGUAGCAAUUAGCAUCUAUAUAGAAAAGAUGCAGCAGACAGGAACUGAUCACAUCUCCACCAAAUAUAAUAGUAACCAAAACAAAAAAAAAGGCACACCACGGGUUAAGAAAAUACUGCAAAUUCAAACUUCGAUGCCCAAAAAAACCAAUAAGAGAUCCUGGCUCCUUCACAUCCUCAACAUACCAAAAAAUCAAAAGAAUCUCCCCCCUAUCACAGUCCAGAGCUCAGGAAGUGCAACAGACUUCAAAAUCCAGGAUGUACGAAACAACAGAUUGCAGAAAAUCCAAAAAAGAGGAACAAGAAAACCUGAGUAACAACAUGUCUAGCUUUCUGCAUAAGAGGCACUCAGACUUGAAGCUGUUCAAUACAAAAAAAUAAUUUAGUAGACACAUCUAUGAUGAAAAGGACAGGAAAAACAUUAGAGUUAGCAAUCAUCAGAUACAUAAAAGCAUUGAAUACAAAAACUAGGUAAAAGGACAAGACAUAGGAACAAACUCGUUUGGGAGGGAUCUAUGAUCAUCUUUAGUCUGAGUGUGUGAGGUGAAUUGUGAAGAAAUUCUGGGAAACAGAGACACAGGAAAAAUCAUACCUCACCAACAAUACAACAGCCAACUUUUAAGUAAAAAAUGAAUGGGUAAAAAGGUAUGUAGAUGCAAAGUAACCAGAGACACGAUAUAGGCAAACCAUCUUUCCCUCUCAUUAUGCUUGAACCUUUCUCCAAAAUUAGAAAAGAAAACAUCAAGUAAUAGGGAAAUAAGAAACCAAAAAAAUAAAACAAAAGGAGAUAAGAAACCGCCAGAGAGGUAACAUGAAGCACAAGAUCAAACACAUCUUUAAGCUCAAAAUAUAUACCUAUAAACAAAAGAAGAAUUUCACAUCAGAAAAAAAAACCACGCCACAAGAAUAUGAGAGUAUGAUAAGACUCUAAACAUAGAUGUAGCAUAAAAGAUAAGACCAACAGAAAGAAAGGGGAAAGAAACCAGUUAGUAGCCGGACGUUUCUCUCUUUUAGAACCUCACAACCUAUAACAAAAGAUCAUAAAACAUAGAUGCUAACAUCACUAGCAAGAUCAGCAGACAUUACUAUUAACCUGAAACAUCCAAUAACAAAGUAUAUGGAAACAAUCAUAUUGCUGAAAGAAUGCACAAGGAAAAGAAAACGAAAAACCUGAACACACAUGACCAGCCUUCUGCAUCAGAGAUCUCAGACUUAGCAGAUCUAAUAGACAUAAGACAUUCAAUACAAAAUAAACUUUAAAAAGAAAAGUAUAAGAACAAACUCCUCUCAUAUGAAUGUGUGGAGACACAGCAGAGACUCUUAGAGAAGUGACUGAUGUUGAAAAUCUGGAAAACACAGAGUAGAGCACCGAUCAAACCUAACCAACUAUAGCCAACAUUGAAUAAAUCAACCAAUAGCAAAAAGUGUAUAUAUGCGAAGUAACCAGAAACUCGUUUGGGAGGACUGUAUGAUCAUCUUUAGUCUGAUUGUGUAAACGGAAACAGAAUGAAGUGGUUUGUGAAGAAAAUCUGGGACACAGACACAGGAAAAAUCAUACCUCACCAGCAAUAUCAAUCUUAAAUUAAACAAUCUAUAGAUAAAAAGUUGUAUAGAUGUGAAGGAACCAGAAACCAAUAUAAUAUGCAACCCUUCCUUUUCUCCCGCAAUGCCUUGAACUUCUACAAUCUAAAUAGAAACUUCUCCAAAAAUUAAAAAAGAAAAACAUCAGGUAAUAUGGAAAUAAGAAACCCUAAAAAUAAGACAAUGGGAGAUAAGAAAACCGCCAGAGAGGUAGCAGGGAACCAUUAGAUAAAAAUCUUUCAAACUCGAUAUAUAUACCUACAAAGAAGGGGACCAUUUGACAUAAAAAACCCACCGUCAAAAGCAUAUGAAGAGAGUAUGAUCAAAUACUAAAAAUAGAUGUAACAUGAGAGAUAACAUACUACCAACAUAAAUAAAGGGGAAAAAAACAUAGUAACCUGACGCUUCUCUUUUUAGAACUCACUGCCUUAAAUAGAAGACAAAGACUUGUAAGCAUAAAAUAUAAGUGCUAACAUCGCUAAGAAGAUCUGUUAACCUGAAACAUCCAAUAACAACUCUGUGGAGACAACAGAUUGCUGAAAGAUACCCAAACGAAUAACAUUCAAUACAGAAACUACUUGCAAAGGAAAAAUAAAAAGAGUAAAUGAACAAACUCAUUAGGAAGGUAAUUCAAGGUCAUCUUUCAUAUGGAUAUGUGAAGACAGCAGAGAAACAGAGAGAAGAGACUGAUGUAGAAAUCUGGAAACACACAAUAAGACACACAGGACAGAUCAUAAUCAACCAACAACAAAAGCCUAAAAUAAUAUAAAACAACCAAUAACAAAAAGGUGAAUAGAUGUGAGUUAACCAGAAACACGAAAUCAUACUCAACCAAGCCUUCUCUCCCACAAUGCCUUCAACUUCUUAGAUCUAAACCAAAGAUUUCACCCAAAAAAAUUAGAAGGAAAACCACACGUAAUAUAGGACUCUAAAAAGGAAACAAAGGGGAAUAAGAAAACAGCCAAAGAUGUAACAUCAGGGAGCGACGACAGAUCAAAUAUAUCCUUCAAGAUAAACUGAGACGGAAUAGAACAGAGGUAAUCGUGAUUGUAACAAGGAAAGUAAAAAAUAUGUAACACGAGAAAUCAGAAGAAACCAACAGAUAGGGGAGAAGAAAUCUACAACACAGCAAUCCCAUUGCCUCCACGAUCUGCGUCAAACAGAGAGAUAUCGCUUAUGUAGAAAAAGCCAAAAAAAACAAAAAGUAUUGGGAAAGAGGAGAAAAAUCAAACAGAUAUAACGAUCAAUCAAACCAUCACCGGUCGAUCUUAGUAUCUUCCACAAUCACCAAUCAAUCAUAGUACCCUCCUAAAUCAAAAAUAGAACGAGGAGUAAAUAUAACAUAAAUUGAAAAAGGUAAAAAUUCAGAAGCUAGAUCGAGGAUCGGAUCAAAAAAUCGAUUUAAGACGUAGCCUAGAGAAACCAGGUGACAAAGAUCCAAAAAAACCAAUCACCGAUCAUAGCAUCAUCCAAGAUCUACAACAACAUGACGACAAGGAAACAAAAAGUGGUGAAAAUACAGAAUCGAAAGAGAUGAUCGGAUCAUAAUUGGCAUCCAAAACAUCUGCGAGACGAAGAGACGUAAGUAAGAAAACGAAAAUCAGAGGAAGAGCACCCCCUGAAGACGUAGCGCAGAGACGCAACAGAGAAACAACAAAUCCACCAAAGCCAUCACCAAGAGAUCAAAGCAUCGAUCCAUCACCAAGAGUAAACCACAUGAACANNN
rnacentral:lncRNA from 1 species